rnacentral:rRNA from 1 species
UACGUAGGGUGCAAGCGUUGUCCGGAAUUAUUGGGCGUAAAGAGCUCGUAGGCGGUGUGUCGCGUCUGCUGUGAAAACUCAGGGCUCAACUCUGAGCUUGCAGUGGGUACGGGCACACUUGAGUGCUGUAGGGGAGACUGGAAUUCCUGGUGUAGCGGUGAAAUGCGCAGAUAUCAGGAGGAACACCGGUGGCGAAGGCGGGUCUCUGGGCAGUUGACUGACGCUGAGGAGCGAAAGCAUGGGGAGCGAACAGG